UACGUAGGUGGCAAGCGUUGUCCGGAUUUACUGGGCGUAAAGAGCGCGCAGGCGGUCGUUCAAGUCGAGUGUGAAAGCCCCCGGCUCAACUGGGGAGGGUCAUUCGAUACUGAUCGACUCGAAGGCAGGAGAGGGUAGUGGAAUUCCCGGUGUAGUGGUGAAAUGCGUAGAGAUCGGCAGGAACACCCAGGGGGAAACCAGCCGACUGGGCAAGUGCUGACGCUGAGGUGCGAGAGCGUGGGGAGCGAACCGG
rnacentral:rRNA from 1 species